UGCGUAACAAACUAAAUUUAACUUUUAUUUCUUUAUAGCCUUGUUGCAUUCUGACUUCUCUUGGGACUGAAAUUGUAUCUGCAUUUGGUAUUGAUUUUCAUUUUCAGUGUCGGUGUUACCAUAACUAUCCCGUCAUAACCUCAUAGAAUUUACAUGGGAAAAGACUUGUGUGCAUGUUGUACCAAUACUUUUUUCUCAGCCCCCCCCCUUCUCUUUUUUGCUAUGCUCACAAGCUGUGUCUAAUGUCUUGGCCUUUUUUAUAUUGAUCAUGUGUCAUGGAAAGUCUUUGUGCAAUAGUUAACAGAUUUCAACAGGUUUCUUAAGGGCAGGUCUGUCUGCUAUAGUUAGCAAUACGAUUUCCAUAUUUCAGUAUCAUUGUUGUGUGUCUAGUUUGCGUCUGCGUCGGAACCUGUUCUGAGUUGGUUAAUACAUACAUGUAGCUUGUAAUAUACAGUAUGUGGUACUUUAAACGUUACUGUUUAUUUCAGAGGGAAACAGAACCCACUUUAAAUGUGAUGGCCAAAGGAGCCUAAGAUCACUUAGGAAAGAACCAUCCAUUGAAAUGGCAGUGUUUGUCUUGGUAAAUCCCUUGAUAUCAAUAGACUAAUUUAUUCUAGAAUAGCAAAUUACUAAUUAUUUAGUAAUACUUGCUGUCUGUAUUUUGUGAGCCCUCGUUAUAUAUGAAUAUAUCAACCAUUUCAGACUGUCAGUCCGAAGCAUCAAUCCCUGUGUGUUCGACAUCGUCCUGGACAAACUAGCAUAUCCAAAGGGAAUCCCCAACCAGCACCACAUCCAUACAGAAAACAAGCCUCACAGUGACCGAGCCGAGGCAGGAGCGCUCAUCUCUCCCUUAUGUGGAGGUAUUGCAUUUCAAAAAUGCCAAAGAGAUGAGGUAUCCUACGGUGUGAGAUGUGGAGCAGGGGAUUGAGGAAACGUCCCAUGUUUUACCUGCAGUAUCUGCAGUUCAGAAUGUGAGAUCUGUGAGUGGGCAGGACUGAGGGAUCAUGAGGAGAGCAGGAGGUUGCAGCCUCCCAUGUGAGAGGGGUUAGUAGGGUUACAAGUUGCACACGGUAAGAACUUUGUCGGCCAUCACUUCACUGUUGAAAUUGUAACAAUUUCCGAGUUCACGUCAGUUGUAACAAUUCAAAUGUGAAAGUUCAAAUGUGUAGAGGGAGGCCUACAGUACUAAACAGGAUUGCCCGUGUGAACCUUGUCUACAUGGUGGCAGCCGUUGUUAACGUAUUGAAUAAAGCCUUUUUUUUAUAAGAUUUGUGUGAAAAUGACAUGUUUGCUGUUCACUUUAGGCAUUACGGAGAGA
ensembl:lncRNA